AUUGAACGCUGGCGGCAUGCUUUACACAUGCAAGUCGAACGGUAACAGGCCGCAAGGUGCUGACGAGUGGCGAACGGGUGAGUAAUGCAUCGGAACGUGCCCAGUCGUGGGGGAUAACGCUGCGAAAGCUGUGCUAAUACCGCAUACGAUCUAUGGAAGAAAGCGGGGGACCGUAAGGCCUCGCGCGAUUGGAGCGGCCGAUGUCAGAUUAGGUAGUUGGUGGGGUAAAGGCUCACCAAGCCAACGAUCUGUAGCUGGUCUGAGAGGACGACCAGCCACACUGGGACUGAGACACGGCCCAGACUCCUACGGGAGGCAGCAGUGGGGAAUUUUGGACAAUGGGCGCAAGCCUGAUCCAGCAAUGCCGCGUGCAGGAAGAAGGCCUUCGGGUUGUAAACUGCUUUUGUACGGAACGAAAAGGUUUGGGUUAAUACCCUGGGCCGAUGACGGUACCGUAAGAAUAAGCACCGGCUAACUACGUGCCAGCCGCCGCAGUAA
rnacentral:rRNA from 1 species